rnacentral:lncRNA from 10 species
UUUUACUUGGAAUAAUUGCAAAACUGCAAAAGUAGCACAAAGGACAUUGGUAUACCCUUCACCCAGAGUCACCCGCUGCUAGCAUUGGCCCCUUCCUUUGUUGUGUCUCUACACACAAGUGAACACGCACACAUAUGCACAAAAUCUGUUUUCUGAACUAUUUGAGGAUAAAUUAUAUAUAUUAUGACUCUUUACUCCUAAAUACUUCAGUGUGUAUUUCUUAAGGUUAGGAAUAUUCUCUCAUAUAACUAUACAGUUACCAACUUCAGUAAAUUUAACAUUGAUACAGCCUUCUUAUCUACCGUCCAUUUUCCAAUUUUGGUAGUUGAGUCAAUAAUGUCCUUCACUGCAUUUCCCGUCCUCUGGUCAUCUAGGGUCAAUUGUCACAUUGAGUUGGCACAGCUCUUAGCCUCUUCUAAUCUUGAACAUUUCCUCAGCCUUUCUUUGAGUUACAUGACAUUAACAUGUUAGAAGAAUAUAAUUUUCCCCCUUUAAAAAAAAUAGAACAUUUUGCUGGGUGCGGUGGCUCACACCUGUAAUAUUCCAGCACUUUGGGAGGCCAAGGCGGGUGGAUCACGAGGUCAGGAGUUCCAGACCAGCCUGGCCAACAUGGUGAAACCCCAUCUCUACUAAACAUACAAAAAUUAGCCAAGCGUGGUGGUGGGCACCUGUAGUCCGUGUAGCCCUUUCCUGGUGAUGAGCCCCACUCUGCUUGUGUGAGUGCGUGGAGUCAGGGUUACCCACAGUCCCACAGAGGUUCUGUAUUCAGCCACUGCCAUGCAGCCACGCUGGACAGGCACCAACGAAAGAACUCCUGUUCACAGGGCCUAAGGAAAGUGUCCUGGUCCCCAUCGCUACUUUUCUGCCUGGUCUUC